UAAUACGGAGGGUCCAAGCGUUAUCCGGAAUCAUUGGGUUUAAAGGGUCCGUAGGCGGGCUAGUAAGUCAGUGGUGAAAUCUCCCGGCUCAACCGGGAAAUUGCCAUUGAUACUGCUAGUCUUGAAUUAUUGGGAAGUAACUAGAAUAUGUAGUGUAGCGGUGAAAUGCUUAGAGAUUACAUGGAAUACCAAUUGCGAAGGCAGGUUACUAUCAAUAUAUUGACGCUGAUGGACGAAAGCGUGGGUAGCGAACAGGAUUAGAUACCCUGGUAGUCCACGCCGUAAACGAUGGAUACUAGCUGUUCGGUAGCAAUACUGAGUGGCUAAGCGAAAGUGAUAAGUAUCCCACCUGGGGAGUACGAACGCAAGUUUG
rnacentral:rRNA from 1 species